UACGGAGGGUGCGAGCGUUGUCCGGAUUCAUUGGGCGUAAAGGGCGCGUAGGCGGUGUGUCAAGUCAGGCGUGAAAGCCCCGGGCUCAACCUGGGAACAGCGCUUGAGACUGGCACGCUCGAGUUCGGGAGAGGAUGGUGGAAUUCCCAGUGUAGAGGUGAAAAUUCGUAGAUAUUGGGAAGAACACCGAUGGCGAAGGCAGCCAUCUGGACCGACACUGACGCUGAGGCGCGAAAGCGUGGGGAGCAAACAGG
rnacentral:rRNA from 1 species